AUGGAACAGCCGAGGAAAGAGUUCAAUUGGACUAAACGCAACGAGCUCUUGUAUAUGAGUGGAAAUGUCUCCGUUAAAACACGCAAGGCCUUGAUGGUGGACUUCAAUGAUAUGGAGAGCGGGGCCAAGGUGAUGCUUGCAUCGACCAAGGUGUGUGGAGAAGGUAUUACCCUCUUUGGAGCAUCGUGUGUGGUGCCCCUCGAUGUUGUGUGGAACCCUUCUGACCAAAGGCAGGCGAUUGGACGUGCAUAUCGAAUUGGUUAG
rnacentral:rRNA from 1 species